ACAAUGGGGAGCCACUGGCGUUUCUGAGCAGGGCAGGGCGGCCCUAGACGUCGCCCCAUUGUUUUUCCCAGACAGGGCCGAACUCUGCAGUAUCGCAGCGAGCCCACUAGAUGGAGAUAUUUUAGCAAAUUUAAAGCGCCCGGCCUUUCCUGGACACAAUUUCCAGGGAGAAAAACAAACACCGGGACCUCGCAAAACCGCCGCGUGUUGACUUGCGGCAUCCGCAAAGCAAAGUCCAAGGGCUGGGAAACCAAAAUCAAACUACCGACAGCCCAGCUUGACGCUGACAGUGAGACGAAACCUCAGCCUUGCUGGUUUCCUGAGACAGAAAGGCCUUUUUCCUUCUCUACACUCUCACGCCUUUCAUCUAAGCCUUCCUCACAGUGCUUCUCCAAGAAGGCCCUGCGUUCACUGCUAGCUAACGAGCAGGCCCGAUGGCCUCCAGCGGCCUGGGUCUUCCUCGUCUCCACCUGCCGUGCCAGCACACGGCCUCGGCCCUGUCCAGAGAGGCAUCAGUGAGCAGGGGAACGGCCAGGAUGCAGAGACAACAGCUGGGUAACAACAGCUGCGGCCCUGAUACCAGAACAGGGCUGUGAAGCAGAUGGAAUGAAGGAGAACUUCCUAUGUAACCCACAGCGUGAUAAGUCUACCUGGAAUGUUUGGUAAAGAGCCUGACAGGGGAAGUUGGCCCAGUUGUAGAAAGCCCUAUCACUGGGCAUCAGCAAAGGCCAAAAGAGAUAAAAAGAAAGAGCUUCCACUCUCAAAGACUGGAGAAUUCAAGAGCUGGCACUUAUGUGCCCUGUGUGACACGACUCCCCCCCGGGAGGCCGCUAGUCGGUUACCUGUAAGAUGGGGGAAGCAGAGCUAACGUCGUAAGCACGCGGAGAGCUCGGAGGAUGACGUGCACGGGCCCUCGCUCUGCCCCUGGCAGGCAGUGGCUGCUCAAGGACGCCAGCUACUCUUUCUCUUAGUACUUGGAAAUGACAUUAUCCACAUUACAUCACUUAAUAAGUCAAUUUUUUGGACUUAUUACAUACCAUUUAAAACGAGUUGCGCAUAAGAAAAUGACCUGUAUCUAUCACUACGAGUGAGCCUCGCCUAACAUCCUGUAACUGAAUAAACCUUUCAAAAUCAAAA